GACGAACGCUGGCGGCGUGCUUAACACAUGCAAGUCGAACGGUAAGGCCCUUCGGGGUACACGAGUGGCGAACGGGUGAGUAACACGUGGGUGAUCUGCCCUGCACUUCGGGAUAAGCCUGGGAAACUGGGUCUAAUACCGGAUAGGACUCCGGACUGCAUGGUCUGGGGUGGAAAGCUUUUGCGGUGUGGGAGGGGCCCGCGGCCUAUCAGCUUGGUGGUGGGGUGAUGGCCUACCAAGGCGACGACGGGUAGCCGGCCUGAGAGGGUGACCGGCCACACUGGGACUGAGAUACGGCCCAGACUCCUACGGGAGGCAGCAGUGGGGAAUAUUGCACAAUGGGCGCAAGCCUGAUGCAGCGACGCCGCGUGAGGGAUGACGGCCUUCGGGUUGUAAACCUCUUUCAGCAUCGACGAAGCGAAAGUGACGGUAGGUGCAGAAGAAGGACCGGCCAACUACGUGCCAGCAGCCGCGGUAA
rnacentral:rRNA from 1 species